ACGAAGGGGGCUAGCGUUGUUCGGAAUUACUGGGCGUAAAGCGUGCGCAGGCGGCUUCUCAAGUCAGGGGUGAAAGCCCAGAGCUCAACUCUGGAAUUGCCUUUGAGACUGAGUGGCUUGAGUACGAGAGAGGUGAGUGGAAUUCCCAGUGUAGAGGUGAAAUUCGUAGAUAUUGGGAAGAACACCGGUGGCGAAGGCGGCUCACUGGCUCGUAACUGACGCUCAUGCACGACAGCGUGGGGAUCAAACAGGA
rnacentral:rRNA from 1 species